GCAGGAAUCUGUGUUAUGCAGAUGCGCACCCAGCGAAGUGAAACAUCUCAGUAGCUGGAGGAAUAGAAAGCAAUAUACGGAACUUUCUUUCUGAACGGAUGCUUAGCAUCUCGUUCAGGAUUUAUUCUGGACGGUGGUGCGAAAGUACCAUUACGUUCAGGAAGAAGGUUCUUGCGAUUCCCUUAGUAGCGGCGAGCGAAACGGGAACAGCCCAAACCAAUCGUGUUUACAUGAUUGGGGUUGUAGGGCGGAGUUGGCAUUUAGUUGCAAUGAGUUACAAAUACUAUGUAUAGGAAAAUGUGCUGGGAAGCACGACCCCAGAAGGUAAUAGUCCUGUAUUCGAAAUGCAUAGUGCUCAUCUGAUUCCGUUCCUGAGUAGUUCGAGACAUGAAUAGCUCGGAUGAAUCUACCAGAACUAACUGGUAAGGCUAAAUAUUCUUGGAGACCGAUAGUGAACUAGUACCGUGAGGGAAAGGUGAAAAGAACCCCGGAGAGGGGAGUGAAAUAGAACUGAAUCCAUACACCUACAAGGAGUCGGAGCCUUCAAUUUAUUGGGGGUGACGGCGUGCCUAUUGAAGAAUGAGCCGGCGAGUGUACCUUUAUCCUUUGUCUAAGUGGCAAUCCCACGGAGGCGUAGUGAAAGCGAGCGUGAAUAGCGCGAAUUAUAGGGUAGGGGUACGACCCGAAGCGUGAUGAGCUUACCAUGAGCAGGGUGAAGCGCAUGUAAAAGUGCGUGGAGGCCCGAACCGGUUGGCCGUUCAAAACCAUCGGAUGACUUGUGGUAAGGAGUGAAAAGCUUAUCGAAUUACGUAAUAGCUGGUUCUCUCCGAAACAGCUUUUGGGUUGGCGUCGUGUGGUCCCUCUGGGGGUAGAGCACUGGAAGGAGCAAACAGGGAGAAAUCUCGUUGCUCCUAUCAAACUCCGAAUACCAGCAGGCAACAGCACGGCAGUUAGACAGUGGGGGAGAAGCUCCAUGUGUCGAAAGGGAAACAGCCCAGAUCGCCAGUUAAGGUCCCUAAAUAUAUGCUCAGUGCAACUUGAGGAGGUGAGGAUUCAUUAACAAUCAGGAAGUUGGCUUAGAAGCAGCCAUCUUUUAAAGAAAGCGUAACAGCUCACUGAUCGAGAGUCCUUGCGCCGAAGAUGAUCGGGGCUCAAGCAUAUUACCGAAACUGCGGAUUUCCAUGAUUUAUCAUGGGAGUGGUAGGAGAGCGUUCGUAUUGCAAUGAAUGGGAGGCGAGAGCCGACCUGGAGCGAUGCGAAGUGAGAAUGCCGGCACAAGUAACCGCAAGACGGGUGGGAACCCCGUCCGCCGAAAUACCAAGGUUUCCUUUGCGAUGGUGAUCAGCGAAGGGUUAGUCGGUCCUAAGGGAAUCCCGAAUGGGGGACUCGAUGGAGAGCAGGUUAAUAUUCCUGCACACUGUACCGUUGCGAUGGAGGGACGGAGGGUUGUACUUGACGCGGCUUAUUGGAUUGCCGUAGGAGGUUCGAGGAGGUCACGUAGGCAAAUCCGCGUGGCAAUACUCCGAGUUCAAACUAAUAGAUGAGGCUACGGCCAAAUCGAUGUCAAGGAGCACGCUUCCGAGAAAAACUUCUAAGCAUAAACGUACCGGUUCCGUACCGCAAUCCGACACAGGUGGUAGAGUCGAGAAGACUAAGGCGAACGAGUGAGAGGUCCUCAAGGAACUCGGCAAACAAGCGGCCGUAACUUAGGGAUAAGGCCUGCCUUUAUAGAAAUAUAAAGGCCGCAGCGAAAGAUUUCCUGCCGACUGUUUAUCAAAAACACAGCUCCCUGCGAAGACGUAAGUCAAUGUAUAGGGGGUGACGCCUGACCUAUGCUGGAAGGUUAAAUACGGGGGGUCGUAUGUUCUUCGGAAUGUGCGGCUGGACUGUAUAAGCCCCAGUAAAUGUCAGCGAUAACUAUAAUCGUUCUAAGGUCGUGCGUGUUUCUUCGGAAAUCCGCACGACGGAUUGGAACGGUUAUAGAGAUAAACAGCCUAGCCAUAGUUACCUUACAUACAGAAAUGUAUGCAUUAUCCAAAUCUAGCCUACAAGAGACCAAAUGCUAGAAACCCAAGUGUUCCUUGUGAAUAACGGGUUAAGAUAGAGUCCUGCAGUGAAAUGUCUUUGAAAAGCAAUUUUCAAAGAAGAAGGAAAUGUAGAGCGUAUUUCCUUGUCGGGUAAGUUCCGACGUGCACGAAUGGCGUAACGAGUGGGAAACUGUCUCGAGGACCUGCUCGGUGAAAAUACAAUCGCGGUAAAGAUGCCGCGUACCUGCAGAUAGACGAAAAGACCCCAGGUGCUUUACUGUAGCUUCGUAUUGGGGCUAUUGAAUUAAUGCGUAGUAUAGGUGUGAGGCUUUGAAGUGGGCUUUCGGGUACCAUGGAGCCGCCAGUGAAAUAGCACCCUUUAAUUUGGUAGUCUCUAACCCGUGUGGUAAAACCUCACAGGGACAGUGCGUGGCAGGCAGUUUUAGUGGGGCGCUACCCUCCCAAAAAGUAACGGAGGGGUCUCAAGGUUGGUUAGCCGCGAAUGGAAACCGUGGCGAUAGUGUAAUGGCAUAAACCAGCUUGACUGUAAGAGGUAGAUCUCGAACAGACACGAAAGUGGAGCAUAGUGAACCGAUGGCUCGCGUUAGAUGCGGCCGGAGAUUACCCGAUAAAAGUAACCCUGGGGAUAACAGGCUAGUCGUGCCCAAGCGUCCAUAGCGACGGCACGGUUCGGCACCUUAACUUAUAUAAGUUUCAAAACAAUAUACAUCGGGGUGCCUAGAGUAGCGAUACUCUACAAAAACAAAUCGGCUAUUACGGUGAACGCCAUGCCAGCCGCUACUACUUAUGUAGUAGAAUGAGGACAUGGUCAAUACCGUGGAAAGGCUAAAUCAAUUCCAAAGGUCAGUAAUUAUUGGCACCGUACUUGGUGAUGGAUACCUUCGUAUCGUCCCAGGUCGCCAACAUGCCUUUUUGGAAGUAAAUCAUGCACUUAGUCAGCAAGAGUACGUAUGGUGGAAAUACCAGGUACUUGAAGGAGUUAGAGCUGGAGCACCAAAAGUGCGUAAUGGAAAUGGUGGGCGUACAGCAGUACGCUUCCAUACCAAACAAUCUGAAGAAUUAACAGA
rnacentral:rRNA from 1 species